AUGGAUGAGGUCACAAGGGAUAUACAAGGAGAUAUCCCAUGGUGUAUGCUCUUUGCGGAUGAUGUGGUGCUAGUUGACGAUAGUCGGACGGGGGUAAAUAGGAAGUUAGAGUUAUGGAGACAAACCUUGGAAUCAAAAGGGUUUAGGCUUAGUAGAACUAAAACCAAGUACAUGAUGUGCGGUUUCAGUACUACUAGGUGUGAGGAGGAGGUUAGCCUUGAUGGCCAGGUGGUACCUCAGAAGGACACCUUUCGGUAUUUAGGGUCAAUGCUGCAGGAGGAUGGGGGUAUUGAUGAAGAUGUGAACCAUCGAAUCAAAGCCGGAUGGAUGAAGUGGCGCCAAGCUUCUGGCAUUCUCUGUGACAAGAGAGUACCACAAAAGCUAAAAAGGCAAGUUCUACAGGACGGCAGUUCGACCCGGAAUGUUGUAUGGCGCUGA
rnacentral:rRNA from 1 species